rnacentral:rRNA from 1 species
CUGGCGGCGUGCUUAACACAUGCAAGUCGAACGCGAACGAUUUCUUCGGAAAUUUAGUAGAGUGGCGCACGGGUGAGUAACGCGUAAGUAAUCUACCCUGGUAUCUGGGAUAACCCACCGAAAGGUGUGCUAAUACCGGAUACGCUUAAGGAUACGCUGAUUUAUCAGGAAAGGUGGCCUCUUCAUGAAAGCUACUGUACCAGGAGGAGCUUGCGUACCAUUAGCUAGUUGGUAGGGUAAUGGCCUACCAAGGCAACGAUGGUUAGCGGGUCUGAGAGGAUGAUCCGCCACACUGGAACUGGAACACGGACCAGACUCCUACGGGAGGCAGCAGGGAGGAAUAUUGCGCAAUGGGGGCAACCCUGACGCAGCGACGCCGCGUGGAUGAUGAAGGCCUUCGGGUUGUAAAAUCCUGUCAGAUGGGAAGAAGUGGUAGAUGGUUAAUAGCCAUGUACUUUGACGGUACCAUCAAAGGAAGCACCGGCUAACUCCGUGCCAGCAGCCGCGGUAAUACGGAGGGUGCAAGCGUUGUUCGGAAUUACUGGGCGUAAAGCGCGCGUAGGCGGCUAUUUAAGUCAGAUGUGAAAGCCCACGGCUCAACCGUGGAAGUGCAUUUGAAACUGGAAAGCUUGAGUAUUGGAGGGGGUAGUGGAAUUCCCGGUGUAGAGGUGAAAUUCGUAGAUAUCGGGAGGAACAUCAGUGGCGAAGGCGGCCACCUGGACAUUUACUGACGCUGAGACGCGAAAGCGUGGGGAGCAAACAGGAUUAGAUACCCUGGUAGUCCACGCCGUAAACGAUGAGCAUUAGUGCAGCGGAUAUUGACCUCUGCUGUGCCGUAGCUAACGCGUUAAGUUCUCCGCCUGGGGAGUACGUCCGCAAGGCUAAAACUCAAAGGAAUUGACGGGGGCCCGCACAAGCAGUGGAGCAUGUGGUUUAAUUCGAAGCAACGCGCAGAACCUUACCAGGGCUAGACAAACUAAGAAUCCUGAAGAAACUCGGGAGUGCUCGCAAGAGAACUUAGGUCCAGGUGCUGCAUGGCUGUCGUCAGCUCGUGUCGUGAGAUGUUGGGUUAAGUCCCGCAACGAGCGCAACCCUUGUCCUUAGUUGCCAUCAUUUAGUUGGGCACUCAAAGGAGACUGCCGGGGUCAACCCGGAGGAAGGUGGGGAUGACGUCAAGUCCUCAUGGCCCUUAUGUCCUGGGCUACACACGUGCUACAAUGGUCGGUACAAAGCGCUGCGAAGCCGCAAGGUGGAGCGAAUCGCAAAAAGCCGGCCUCAGUACGGAUUGCACUCUGCAACUCGAGUGCAUGAAGUCGGAAUUGCUAGUAAUCGUCGAUCAGCAGGCGACGGUGAAUACGUUCCCGGGCCUUGUACACACCGCCCGUCACACCAUGGGAGUCGAGUGCUCCAGAAGUGGCCACGCUAACCCGCAAGGGAGGCAGGUCCCCAAGGAGUG